rfam:Schistosoma rodhaini strain Burundi genome assembly, scaffold: SROB_scaffold0021669
GCACUGCUGAGGAGUCCCCCAAUGGAACGAAACGACCGUCCAGUAC